UUUUGAUUGGAAGUGAAAUCUUAUGAGGCCCCGGAAGUGUGGGGCUAUUGAUGAUCUGGAAAUAAUAAAAUGGAAAAAAUUUGUGAAUUCUGCACAGCAUUGAGGCCGGUAGUUUACUGCAAGGCUGAUGCAGCAUAUCUUUGCCUUUCCUGUGAUGCAAAGGUGCAUUCAGCUAAUGCUCUCUCCAACCGACAUCUGCGUACCCUCCUAUGUGACUCAUGCAGAAAUCGCCCAGCUUAUGCUAGGUGUUUGGAUCACCGGAUGUUC
rnacentral:misc_RNA from 1 species